rnacentral:rRNA from 1 species
UACAGAGGUCUCAAGCGUUGUUCGGAUUCAUUGGGCGUAAAGGGUGCGUAGGUGGCGCCAUAAGUCAGGUGUGAAAUCUCGGGGCUUAACUCCGAAACUGCAUUUGAUACUGUGGUGCUUGAGGACUGGAGAGGAGACUGGAAUUCACGGUGUAGCAGUGAAAUGCGUAGAGAUCGUGAGGAAGACCAGUGGCGAAGGCGGGUCUCUGGACAAUUCCUGACGCUGAGGCGCGAAAGCGUGGGGAGCAAACGGG